rnacentral:rRNA from 1 species
CACGUAGGGUGCGAGCGUUGUCCGGAAUUAUUGGGCGUAAAGAGCUCGUAGGCGGUGUGUCGCGUCGGCCGUGAAAACCUGCAGCUUAACUGUGGGCUUGCGGUCGAUACGGGCAUCACUGGAGUUCGGCAGGGGAGACUGGAAUUCCUGGUGUAGCGGUGAAAUGCGCAGAUAUCAGGAGGAACACCCGUGGCGAAAGCGGCUCUCUGGAACGGUACUGACGCUGAGACGCGAAAGCGUGGGGAGCGAACAGG